CUUGAUUAUUUAUUUAAUUUUUUUUUUACAUGUAAGAUUUUUGUAGGGAUUUUAAUUGAAUUUUAAGAAUUUUUUUAAAAAAAAUAUAUUCGCAGUAUUUGAUUUUAAUUAUUUAAGAAAUUAAGAAUUAGAAAUAAAUUUUAAUAUUAACAAAUUUUGUGCCAGCAGUUGCGGUUAUACAAAAAAUGUAAAUAAAUAUUAUUAGUAAAUAAUUAUAUGUAUUAUUUAUAAAUUUAAAUUAUAUUUAUUAGGUGAAAUUUUAAAUAUAAAAUAUAUUUAUAAUAAAGAUUUUAUUAUUAUGAAAUUUAUUUUUAAACUAGGAUUAGAUACCCUAUUAUUUUAAAUGUAAAAUUAUUUUACUAAAGUAGUAUUAGUUAUGGUCUUGAAAUUUAAAGAUUUUGGCGGUAUUUUAGUCUAUUUAGAGGAACCUGUUCUGUAAUUGAUAGUCCACGAUUUACUUUACUUAUUUUAAAAUUUGUAUACCGUCGUUAUUUAGAAAAUUUUAGCAGAAAAUAAAUUUUUAAUAUUUUAUAUUAAAAUUUAUAUCAGAUCAAGGUGCAGUUUAUAUUUAAGAAGAAAUGGGUUACAAUAAAUUUAUUUAUAUGGAUUAGAAAAUGAAAUAUUUUUUAUGAAGGUGGAUUUAAUAGUAAUAAAAUUUAAUUAAAUUUUAUGAUUUUAGCUCUAAAAUAUGUACAUAUCGCCCGUCACUCUUGCUAUAAAGUAAGAUAAGUCGUAACAUAGUAGAUGUACUGGAAAGUGUAUCUAGAAUGAC
rnacentral:ncRNA from 1 species